rnacentral:rRNA from 1 species
UACGUAGGGGGCAAGCGUUGUCCGGAAUUACUGGGCGUAAAGGGCUCGUAGGCGGUUUCUUAAGUCUGAUGUGAAAGCCCACAGCUCAACUGUGGAGGGUCAUUGGAAACUGGGGAACUUGAGUGCAGAAGAGGAGAGUGGAAUUCCACGUGUAGCGGUGAAAUGCGCAGAUAUCAGGAGGAACACCUAUUGCGAAGGCAGCUCGCUGGGACGUAACUGACGCUGAGACGCGAAAGCGUGGGGAGCAAACAGG